CCUACGGGAGGCAGCAGUGAGGAAUAUUGGUCAAUGGACGCAAGUCUGAACCAGCCAUGCCGCGUGCGGGAAGACGGCUCUAUGAGUUGUAAACUGCUUUUGUAGGAGGGUAAACGCAGAUACGCGUAUCUGUCUGAGAGUAUCCUACGAAAAAGGAUCGGCUAACUCCGUGCCAGCAGCCGCGGUAAUACGGAGGAUGCAAGCGUUAUCCGGAUUUAUUGGGUUUAAAGGGUGCGUAGGCGGUCGGAUAAGUUCGUGGUGAAAUCCCGGGGCUCAACUUCGGACUUGCCUCUGAUCCUGUUCGGCUAGAGCGUAGUUGCGGUAGGCGGAAUGUAUGGUGUAGCGGUGAAAUGCUUAGAGAUCAUGCAGAACUCCGAUUGCGAAGGCAGCUUACCAAGCUACUUCUGACGCUGAGGCACGAAAGCGUGGGGAUCAAACAGGAUUAGAUACCCUUGUAGUC
rnacentral:rRNA from 1 species